GAAAUUGAUGCUGCUGCAUUGCAUUCAUACAAGUCCCAGUCACUGAGGCUUUCUGCUCUUCAUAAAUUCAAAUCUGGGCAGGUCCCAAUAUUGGUCGCUACUGAUGUCGCGAGUCGUGGUUUAGACAUUCCAACAGUUGAUCUGGUGGUAAAUUAUGACAUUCCAAGGUAUCCACAGGAUUAUGUUCAUCGUGUUGGACGUACUGCAAGAGCUGGACGAGGUGGACUUGCUGUCAGCUUUGUUACUCAGAAUGAUGUGGAUCUCAUUCAUGAAAUAGAAGCGGUGCUUGGGAAACAAUUGGAGAAAUUUGAUUGUAAAGAGAAUGAGGUGCUUGAUGAUAUAUCAAAGGUUUACAAGGCGAAGCGUGUUGCAUCAAUGAAGAUGAUGGAUGAUGGGUUUGAGGAGAAAGCAGAAAGUCGUAAAGCCCAGAAACAGAAAAUGCAAAAUGAGAGAAAGGGAAAGAGCAAAAAGCAGAAAAGAGAAAGAGUAACAAAAGAUAUAGAAGUUUGAGAUCUCCUAUAUUUGUGGAUAGCUUAGGAGAAGAGAGUUUUUUUUUUUUUAUGUAAAAGAGUUCUAUUUUACA
rnacentral:misc_RNA from 1 species